GCAUUGUUGGUUCAGUGGUAGAAUUCUCACCUUCUGUGUGGGAGACCCAGGUUCCACUCUCAGCCAGUGCA
rnacentral:tRNA from 1 species